AACCCCUCCGGUGGCUUAGUGGUCAGAGUGUCCACCUCAGAUGUGAGAGGUCAUGGGUUCGAUCCCCGGUCGAGUCA